rnacentral:rRNA from 1 species
GAUGAACGCUGGCGGCGUGCUUAACACAUGCAAGUCGAACGAUGAAGCUCAGCUUGCUGGGUGGAUUAGUGGCGAACGGGUGAGUAACACGUGAGUAACCUGCCCUUAACUCUGGGAUAAGCCUGGGAAAGUAGGUCUAAUACCGGAUAGGAGCGCCUACCGCAUGGUGGGUGUUGGAAAGAUUUAUCGGUUUUGGAUGGACUAGCGGCCUAUCAGCUUGUUGGUGAGGUAAUGGCUCACCAAGGCGACGACGGGUAGCCGGCCUGAGAGGGUGACCGGCCACACUGGGACUGAGACACGGCCCAGACUCCUACGGGAGGCAGCAGUGGGGAAUAUUGCACAAUGGGCGAAAGCCUGAUGCAGCGACGCCGCGUGAGGGAUGACGGCCUUCGGGUUGUAAACCUCUUUCAGUAGGGAAGAAGCGAAAGUGACGGUACCUGCAGAAGAAGCACCGGCUAACUACGUG